GGCUCGGUGGCGGAGGGUCCGCAUCUGCUGCAUUUGUCUGAGUCUUCGAAGCUGAAAGCAGAAGGUGCUCGUUCGAUUCGAGCCCGAGCCA